rnacentral:rRNA from 1 species
AUGAACGCUGGCGGCGUGCCUAAUACAUGCAAGUCGAGCGAACAGACGAGGAGCUUGCUCCUCUGACGUUAGCGGCGGACGGGUGAGUAACACGUGGAUAACCUACCUAUAAGACUGGGAUAACUUAGGGAAACCGGAGCUAAUACCGGAUAAUAUAUUGAACCGCAUGGUUCAAUAGUGAAAGACGGUUUUGCUGUCACUUAUAGAUGGAUCCGCGCCGCAUUAGCUAGUUGGUAAGGUAACGGCUUACCAAGGCAACGAUGCGUAGCCGACCUGAGAGGGUGAUCGGCCACACUGGAACUGAGACACGGUCCAGACUCCUACGGGAGGCAGCAGUAGGGAAUCUUCCGCAAUGGGCGAAAGCCUGACGGAGCAACGCCGCGUGAGUGAUGAAGGUCUUCGGAUCGUAAAACUCUGUUAUUAGGGAAGAACAAAUGUGUAAGUAACUAUGCACGUCUUGACGGUACCUAAUCAGAAAGCCACGGCUAACUACGUG